rnacentral:rRNA from 1 species
GAUGAACGCUAGCUACAGGCUUAACACAUGCAAGUCGAGGGGCAGCAUGGUCUUAGCUUGCUAAGGCCGAUGGCGACCGGCGCACGGGUGAGUAACACGUAUCCAACCUGCCGUCUACUCUUGGACAGCCUUCUGAAAGGAAGAUUAAUACAAGAUGGCAUCAUGAGUCCGCAUGUUCACAUGAUUAAAGGUAUUCCGGUAGACGAUGGGGAUGCGUUCCAUUAGAUAGUAGGCGGGGUAACGGCCCACCUAGUCUUCGAUGGAUAGGGGUUCUGAGAGGAAGGUCCCCCACAUUGGAACUGAGACACGGUCCAAACUCCUACGGGAGGCAGCAGUGAGGAAUAUUGGUCAAUGGGCGAGAGCCUGAACCAGCCAAGUAGCGUGAAGGAUGACUGCCCUAUGGGUUGUAAAACUUCUUUUUAUAAAGGAAUAAAGUCGGGUAUGUAUACCCGUUUGCAUGUACUUUA